rnacentral:lncRNA from 1 species
GCGCAGCAAUGGUGGAGGCCGGGAGGAGAGGCAAAUCCCCACUCAUUUGGGAGGCCACUUCGCGGUGGCUCUAAAUUCCCCAGGAUUAAGAGACCUCCAGCACCAGCAUCCCACUGCCCUUUUCUCUAAUGCUCCCCUGAGGCCACUUGGCUGAUUGGAAUGUUCAGCCCACCCCCUCAGUGGCCAGGCAGGAUAAGCUGCCUCUCUGGGGACACUCUGCUGCCUGUCCUGUUUCCCAGAACUAAUCCAUGUUGACAGUCCUGGCCCAGGCAUUCCCAAAGGGCCCGAGUCCUGAAGCACAGAAGGCCGGACCCUCCAGGGAUCCAAGGGCAGCCUGGGGUGAAGCAGGCUGAGAUAGAGCCAACCGAGGGUGACUGCCACGUCAUAUGGCUUUGAAGUAGAAGUUAAAAGGGUGUGAGGCAGACUUCCAGGACACCUGGCACCCUCCUGUGGAGACUUUCCCCAAAGCAAUGGAAGCAGAGUGGCGACAAACUGAGACUGACCCAACAUUUUCCAGCUUCAUCUCAGCCCAGCUGACCAUUGUUUCCAGCUCCAGUCUGCUCCUGGGACAGACUCUGACGUGCAACCUCCCCCCACCGUCAAUGAGUGACCCAGCUUAGCUGGAAGCACCGCCCUCCUGAGGGCCCGCUCUCUUUCAAGGGGAGUUGAAGCCUUUUGCUACAAAGGUUCCAGACAUCAAAGCAGCCCUCGGGGAGAUCUUUUGUUCACAGGGAGGACAUUCUCUUACCUCCCCCAGGUCAGGUGACAGACACGCAGCC